AUUACGGGUUACUGAUCAAUGAAUUCUUAGGGCCUGGGGCCUGCUUGAAACUUCCGGAGGGAUUCAAACUUAAUCCAGUAACCAUCUCUCUGCCUUUUUCCCUUCCUUCCCUUCUUCCUUUCCACUUUUUAGCGUAAAACGCUGGAGGAGAAGUCAGUAGCAAGCAGCUAAGACAACAUGGUACAUGUGUGAACAAAUUGGGGUUUUGAAAUUUACUGUUUAGAACCUUCCACUGAUCCAGAAGGCAGUCAUAGUCUGUGAUGCCCACUAUCUCAAUAUUUCUAAAUUAACUAUGUCUUUUGUUACAGGCUAGAAGCCCACCAACUGCUAACAACCAGCUGGAGGGUAAGUCAAAAGCUAUGAGAGCCCAGAAGGAGAACAAUUAUUUAGACCUGGAGGGGCCAGUUGGGAAAGUCUUUGAAGGGUCUUCAGAAAAUGGACCAAAAGAAAAGAGGAAAAGUCAUUCUACUGAGAGGUGUUUGUGUAAUCAAAGCAACCGAGGCCUAAGAACUCACAAAAGAUUAGAAAAGGGUAAAGGAUGCCUGGAAAGCCGGACUAGGAAAAGGCUGUGAAGGGCCCUGAAGGUCACAUGUCACAUGUUGCCUGCAGCAUGCAGAAUCAAAACAUGAUAAAUCAUGUCUUGAAUCAUGACAUAUGAAGCAUGACACACGAAUCAUGACAUGUGACAUGUUGAAUGUCACAUGUCACAUGCCGUAGGCAGCCAUCAAGAGUAUUUGAAAGGAAAGUGUAUAAUCAGGCCUGUGCUUUAGUAAGACAAUUUGUAUAGUGUUCAGUGUGGAUUAAAAUGGAGAACACAGGUAUCAGUUUGACAUCGACAGUACAGGAAACCAUUUGGGUUUCUUGUACACCAAAAUAUUAAAACAUACACGCAAACACACCAACACAUUAAAAUCUUGAGAGAGAGGGCCAAAAGUUCUUUGUCGCUGGACUAAAAGUGGAAAUAAAUGUUUACAACCUCUAAGGUGGAUUAAGCUAAGAAUUUGGAGUUGUUGGCAAAACUGCCACAUAAAAUUUCAGACAUGCAAAGAAAUGCAAUCGUAGACUUAUGCACAUACUUCCACCAGAGAAGGGAAUCUGGGCAGAGUGUUCAAAGCUUAAGAAAUUCCUUUGCUCUUCACCAAGAAGAGCCAACAGAGUUUUCGUUGAAUCAACUCUUAUAUUCCCUUAAAAAGAAGUUGAUAGUGUUGUGGAAAACUCACCCAUUGAAGUGACAACAAAAACAGCAACCCAGUAUGAGUUAACUGGUAUUAUGUUAAAGGGACAAGUAACUGCACUUUUGACACACAUCCUCUAAAAGGUAGGGUGGGAGUGUUUCAAAGAACCAAGUCUGAGUAAUAGAAAAGCAUAUACCACUUCCCCAUAUACACGUUCGAGCAUGGGGGAGCAGGAAGCUGGGUAAUUGAAUGCAGUUGUGCACACUGGCAAUUUUCCCGCCACAUACCAUUUCUUCGGUGUCUCUCCCAAAAUUCUCCUCCUAAGUGGCACAUCCCUUUAUUGAUCAUCUUUCCCCAUACUGAUCAUCCUCAGCAAUCAUGUGAGUUAUUAGUCUAAGUAUUUGUUUUUCUCAAAUAUGGUCUUUUAACUACUCCCUAAAUAUUUUAUAUAUACAUAGUUUGUUUUCCCAAUUUAACUACAAGCAUUUAAAAAAUGGGAAUAUUUGUCUAUAUUUCUGUAAUUUUUCAUCAUGCCUUAUAUGGUAUAUAAAGAUCAACAGCAAUAAAACAACAACAGUAAUAAUAGCUAAGACCUUUUGAAUACUAACUGUAUGUUCAGCAUUAUUUCAACAGCUUUACAGGUAUUAACUGAUUUAAUUAUUACAACAACGGCAUGAAGUAGAUACUACUGUUGUCAUCAGUUUAUACUUGAGGAAACUGAGUUAUGGGAUGGUUAAUUAUCUUUUCCAUGGUCACAGAGCCAUUAAAUGUAUGAUCUCAGACAGUCUGACACCUGAGCUGUGCUUCAAUGUACCUGUUAAGAUAUUCUUUUUCUUGAAUUCAAAUUCUGAAAGGAAAACAGAGUUGAAAAAUCAGAGGCCCUAGCUAAUCAAGUAAAGUUUUGCUUUAAAAACAGCAAAAAACAAUCUUCCUAAGGUCUCUGCAACAUUUUGUGGCCCAUCACAGAACAGGGUCAUCUUUGACUUCUACACCAAGGAAAAUGUGGCUUUUGGAUUCUUGGACAGAAUCUACUGCAUGGCCUCUAUCUUCAUAUGCCCUUGCUGGGAUCCGAAGAUAAUAUGAAUAAAGUAGAUAUAGUGGAAGUGAGUAGAAGAAACAUCCUGAACAAAAAACACUUGUUCCACUUGGCCAGCUACCUAUAUUCUCAUCAAGGGAGAGUUGGCCACAGGUAAUACCACAUCAAAGUGCAAACUCUGGAUCAACUUGCACUUUUACUUAUUCCUACCUUUGACACACACAUAGCAUAACAUGUAUAAUUCUUAUUCUGGGCAUAGUUGGUGGUAGGAAGGUUUUUAUACAUUUGAGAUUCUAUUUGGUGAGCAUAUGGUAACAACACAAGAAAUGUGCCAUCAGACUACUGUUCAUCAGCUUACGAAGAUGGCUACAACAAUUCUUAUGAUUCUUGUGCACAUGUUUCUUUGCCAUGCAACUUUGUCACCCCUUCCCAUCAAGACAUAGAGUCCAUUUCUUUUUCCCUUUAAUUUGGCCCUGUGACUUGCCUAAAACCAACAGAAGGCUGCAGAAGGGACAUCAUAUGACUUCAGGGUCUCAGCACCAAAAGGCCUUUCAGCUUCUGCUUUCAGGCUGUCAUUGCUGUGAGAUAGGAAGCCUGGGCCAGCCUCCAUGAGAAUGAGAGACCACACCUGGUCAACAAGGAGAGCCAACCUUCAGCCAUGUGAGUGAGACCAUCCAGCCUCAGUUAAGCUGCCAGAUGACUGAAGCCAGAUAAGUGGCCCCAGGCAAGACCAGCAAAACAGCCAACUGGCUGAGCCCAGCCCAAAUUGCUAAGGCAUAGCAAUUUAGGACAAGAUAAAUUCUUGUGUUUUAAAUCAGGAUUUGUUAUGGAGAAAUGGAUAACUGAUAAAGCUCCAAAUCCUAACUGAGACAAGAAAUUCAACACCUUUUAUAUUACCAUGAUACAAACAUUAUUUUCUUAAUAGUCAUCAUUAAAGCUUUGUAUGUUUAACUGCCCUUCCACUACUACAACAGCUACUGUGCUGGUGCAUUCACAUUCAUGCAUACACAUAAAGACACAUUCUCCAGUUUCCCAACUAGUUACUCAUAUACUCUUUUGGGCUUUCAUUUCUCAAUAUUGCUAUAUUUCCAGCUCAGUCCGUUUAACUAGCUUCAUUCCCAUAUAUCCAGCUCUUCCUGUCUAUGAAGAGUAGCUUACCAUUACUUACUAUGUGCCAGGAACUGUUUCUCACUAUCACUUUAUCAGGCAGAUAGUUCUCUAUCAAUAACUACUGAACAGAUGACUUCAUCUAGUCAACCAUGACAUUAGAAUCAAUCGCAAGAUAGAGAUAGGAAUCAAAGAGAAGAGAUAAAUAUGUUACCCUUAUUACUUAUUUUUAAAAUAUUUAUAUUGGAAAAUACGAUUGCGACACCUACUAACCCACACAAACACAAGAACAUUUGGGCAACCACAGGCCUCCUCCAAUGCAGAUUGGUGUGUGAAAAACUUACAGCAUGGAGGAUUAAAAAAUGUAUAUUCUCUGAAGGCAGAUAUGCCCUUCCAGAUACAAGAAAAUGAAUGAACCAUUAAUGCUGAGUUCUUUCUCCCAAGCUGACCAAUCAGUUGUGACGAUUCCUCUCCCCUAGGAAUAGUCACUCUUGAGAAGUCACAAUUGUAACAUCGAUGGAGGUUUCCUAUAGAAACAUAAAGACUGGGGAUUAUGUGUUUCCCCUAUAACAAAUUUUGUCCUUAUCUUGUGACUUUCCAUUAUGUUUCCAGCCUCAACAUCUUCCCUAAGCCUCAGAAUUAUAUGUACACCUGUCUAUUCAGUCUCUGCUUGGAAGCCUAAUGGGUAUUUCGAACUCAAUAUGUCGAAGAGGAUACUCCUCAUUUUUUUUUUUAACUAUCUCUUCACUCCUCUUUAGUUUGCUAGGGUUGCCAUAACAAAAUAAGGCUGGGAAACUUAAACAGCAGAAUUUUAUCCUCUCACAGUUCUAGAGGCUGGAAGUCCAAGAUCAAGGAGCCAGCAGUGGUUUCUCCUGGUAUCUCUCUCCUUGGAUAACUUCUCACUAUGUCCUCACAUGGCCUUUUCUUUGCACACACAUAUCUCUGGUGUCUCUUCCUUCUUAUAAGGAAUCAACCAUAUUGAAUUAGAGACCCACUCUUAUGAUCUCAUUUAACCUUAAUUACCUCCUUAAAGGCCCUAUCUCCAAAUAUAGUCACAUUAGAGGUUAGGGCUUCAGUACAGGAAUUUUAGGGGUAGGGCACAAUUCAGUUCCUAACAACCCCUCUCACAAUCUUUCCUAUUUUAGGAAAUGGCACCACCACUGAUUAAUUGCUUAGGCUAAAUUUUAGGAAUCAUCUAAGAUUCCUCUUCCCCUCAUACCCCACAUCCAAUCCAUUAGGAAGUUAUGUGUGUUUUACCAAUUUCAUAUCCCACCACCUCCACUAUGGACUCCAGGUUUUGCCAUCUUGUUCUGCCUGCUCUACUGUAAUAGUCUCCUAAAUGGUUAUACUGGUUCCUUUCCUGCCCUGCUACAGUCCAUUUCUCACACAUCCACCAGAGUCAAUCAGAUACCAUUGAAAGUAAAUCAGAUACCAUUGCUUCCCUAAUUUGCAAUCUCUAGUGACUUCUCAUUAUGCUUAGAAUAAAACUCAACUCCAUUUUACAACCCACAUUCAUCUACCCUUGCCCACCUCACCAUCCUUACUACAUAUCACUCUUCCCCAUCAUUCACUCAACUCCAGUCACUUUGGCUGCCUUGACUUUCUUCAAGCAUCCAAAGCUCACUUUGGUGUCACAACCAUUGCAUGUGUUCGUCCUUGUCCAUCCACCUGGAACUCUCUGGAUGUGUCUCCCCCCUUUUCAUUUCACUGAUAUCUCUGCUCAAAUGUAACUUUCUUAAUAGAGCUUUCCUAACUCUAUUUUAAACACACCUCAUGACUUUCAACUCCUUUACCUUCCUUUAUUUACUUUCAAAAUAUUUACAACUGCUUGAAAUUACAUUGCAUUUUUAUUUGUUUAUUGUCUAGUCUUCUCCACUAGGUUGUAAACUUCCUGAGACUUUUUGUUUCUUGCUGUACCUGUAGCACUGAGAAGGGUCCUUGAAACAAAACAGACCCUCAACACAUAUGCAUUGAAUGAAAAUAAUUUAUGCAAUCUAAAUCAUUCUGAUUUGGAAAUUUGAUCAUGCCACUUCCCAUCUUAAGCUCUCCAAUGGCUUCUCAUUCCUCUGUGGAUAGACUUGAAGCAUCCAAUAUGGUGUACGAGACCUUCCUAAUUUUCAGUUUUACCUCUAGCAACUCCCACCAUGCAGCUUGAGCUCCAGUCCUCCCUAACCUUUAUGAAGACUAGAACUGUGCUGCUUCAUCUUGUAAUCCCUGGAGUCUAGCACAAUACCUGACACAAAAUGGUUACAAAGCAGCUGGCAUUAAGUGGCAGGAAUUAUGCUAUAAAACAGAGAGUGUAUAGAGUCUUGAUUUUACAUUUCACUAGCUGGUUACUUUAUUGACAAAAUGGUGAUAAUAAAAUCAGCCCUAGCUAUUUCUCACAGGUGAUUUAAAAAUCAAAUUUAUAUAAAAAUAUUUAGAGAGCACCUACUAUGUGCUGGGCACUGUCCUAUGUGUUGAGGGUACAUUAAUGAGUGAAAUAGACAAUGAUUUCUGCCUUCAUGGAAUUUAUGUUCUAGUAGGUAAAAGACUACACACACACACACACACACACACACACACACACACAGGUAAUAAGUGCAAUAGAACUAAUUCAGGGAAGGAGAAUGAGGAGGGCCUGGUGCAGUGCUUAUGCACAUUUUGUACUUGGUGGUCAGGAAAGGCCUCAUAGAGAUGAUGACAUUUGAACAGAGACCCAAAGGGGUUGAGGGAAUAAACCAUGUAGACAUUUGGGGAAAGAAUAUUCCAGUCAGAGGGAACAAUAAAUGCAAAAACCCUGAGGCAAGAACAUGUCUAUAGUGUUCAAGACCAUAUAUUCUGGGCCAUAAAAUAAAUCUCAAUAAAUUUAAAAGAAUUCACACAAUAUAAAGUGUGCCCUCAGAUCACAACAGAAUUAAAUGAAGCUCAAUUUAAUAAAUAAAAAUAAAUAACAGAAAGCAUCUCUGGAUAAUCCUCAAAUAUUUGGAAACUAAAUAACACACCUCUGAAUACCUCAUGAAUCACAGAAUAAAUCAAAAGAGAAUGAAUGGAAUGAAAUUGAAAACAGAAAUUAUUGAAAUUUGUAAGAUACAUCUAAAUUUAUGAAACUCAAACACCCAUAUCAGAAAAGAAGAAAGGUUUGAAAUUAACAACCUCAGCUUCUGCUUUAAGAAAUUAGAAAAAGAAGAGAAAAUAAAACCCGACCUAAGGAGUAGAAGGAAAAUGAUAAAGAUCAGAGUGGGAAACAAUGAAAUAGAAAAUAGAAAAUGAUAGAGAAAAUUAAUAAAAUUAAAAACUUGUCCUUGAGAAAAUCAAAACUGAUAAACCUUUCAUAAAACAGAUCAGAAAAAGAGAAAGAGAAAACACAAGCUACCCAUAUUAGGAAUGUGAGAAGUGACAGUCCGGAUUUGACCAAUAAUAAAAGGAAAAUAAAGAAAUAUUAUGAACAACUUUAUGCCAAUAAACUUGACAACUUUGAUGAAAAUGUACACAUAUCUUGAGUAGUAUAAGCUAUCGAUACAGUUUUGACCCACGUUCCCAUCCAAAUCUCAAGUUCAACUGUAAUCUCCAAUGUUGGAGGGAGGGCCUGGUGGGAGGUGACUGGAUCAUGGAGGUGGGUCCUUCAUGAGUGGUUUAGCACCAUCCUUUUAGUGCUGUUCUUGUGACAGUGAGUGAGUUUUCAUGAGAUCUCGUUGUUUAAAAGUGUGUAGCACCUCCCAUUUCAUCCUUUCUUGCUGCUCUGGCCAUGUGAUCUGCCUGCUCCCUCUUCGCCUUCCACCGUGAUUCUGUUUCCUCAGGCCUCCCCGGAAGCUGAGCAGAUGCCAGCACCAUAAUUCCAGUACAGCCUAUCAAACUGUGAGCCAAUUAAAACUUUUAUUUAUUUUAUUUAUUUUAAAAAAAUUUUAAUUUAUUUAUAAAUUACCCAGUCUCAGGUAUUUCUUUAUAGCAAUGGGAGAACUGACUAAUACAGCUAUCAUAAUGCAUUCAAGAAGAAACAGAAGACACUAAAUAGCCCUGCAUCUAUUAAGGAAAUUAAGUUUAUUUUUAAAAAUUCAAUUUAUAAAGAAGUAUAUGAAUGAAAAUACUUUCCACGAAGUAAAUCCUAGGCCUGAAUUAUUUCAUCUGUGAAUGCUAACAAACACUUAAGCAUGAUAUAAUACUCAUUCUAUGUGAACUCUUCUAAGAAGUUGAAGAGGAGUGAAUACUUCCCAACUCAUUCCACAAGGCUAGCAUUACUCUGAUACCAAAAUCAAAGACAUAAGUAAUGAAAACCAUGGACCAAUUUCCCUUGUGAGCACAGACGAAAAAUCCUUAGCAAAAUUUUAGCAAGUUGAAUGUGACAAUACCUAAAAGAAGACCAAGUAGAGUUUAUCCCAAGAGUGCAGUGUUGGAGGAAAAAUGGGGACAUUGUGGCUAGGCUGGAAUGAGCCAGGGAAGUGAAAUGAGAUUUGAGAACUAAAGAGAACUAGAUCAUGUGGGCCAGAGGAUUUGUUCCUGAUCAUCAUGACCGUGAACUCAAACAAUUAAUACUAGUAGUGUGAAUUUUAGGCCUCUCUACUGGAGAACAGAGAAAAUUGAGGGGUGGUGGGGACUGGUAAAUACCACAGAGAGAAUUGUCAGCCUCAUUGCAAGGCCUUGAUUUUUAAUCUGAGUGAGAUAUAGGAAAACCAUUGAAGAGUUUUGAGCAGAGGAGUGAUAUCAUCAUUUUACUGCAUUUUAGUGAUCUAUUUUAUUGAGAACAUAUUUUAGUGGAGUGAGACUGGAAUCAGGAAGACCAAAUAAUAAUAUGUAAGUCAAAGUAUUCAGUAAAUUAUAAAUGAUUCACAUACCAAUAAUUACUCAAAUAUUGCAAUAACUUCAUCAUUCUCUGUCAUAGUUUAGUGCACCAUUUCUGACAAGCUGCUUUAUAUAUACUUACUUUUUUAUAGAUAACAGUCUUUUGAUAAAAUACAUUUUGCUAGAGAGGACUCUCAGAAGAAUGUGGGGAACUUUGCUUGGUUAUAGGUUGAUCAUUGAAGCCCAGUGGAAUUUUGCCCAACUCUUUUAUUAUACAUCCCUCAGUUUUAUUGUCAGAAAUAAAAUGUUAUGCUGAAUGGUAAGAGCCUAAAAUAAUACAACAUUCCUUUAUACAAUGUACUUGGUCCCAACUUGAUUGUGAUGUCAGAAAUAAACAAUAUUUAAUCAUUUUCCAAGGAGCUGGUCUCCCUUGAACCAGCCCCUUGCAGUCAUUGUUCUCCUGACUGAUGUUAUCAGAGAUCCUAUGCAGGAUCUAAUUCCUACUCAUGCCAGAGCAAGCCAGGAGAAGCUCUACCAACUCCUGGGAGCUACAAAGCGAUAGGUUCCCAGAGUCUAAAACUAUUGGAAAUGAUGUUUGUCUAAAAUGGCCAGAGACAACUUUUAUAAGCUUCCAGGAAGUGGAGAACCAGAAAAACUGAGAAAAAAAAAAAAAAAGCCAAAACACACAAGGUCAAGGGAGCUGAGAAUCAAAGACUGUGAUGACAGGCAAGGCUGUGGAUAUGGAGUGCACCCAAGAGUUCUCUUUCAUAAGGGAUUGAUGAUGUGCUUGGGGCGGGCUGGCCAUUUGCACUAAGUGGUUCAAAAAACGUACAAAGUCCAACCCAUGCCUAAGUGAGUGUUGUAGCUCAUAGCGAUUUAAUUUGUUUUGCCACACUUGAAAGUGCAAUACGAUAGUGAGAGUAUUAAGUCCCUUUGAAGGCGGGCAGGAAGAUUUUUUUGAAGGAAGUAAACACCAUGUAAAGAAUUGUCAGCCUCAUCCACAUUUCAAGUCAAUUCUGCUGACAUGAAAAUGUUUUUCACAGGUCGAGUGUGCGGUUUCCAUUUAGCACACAGGCCUUCCACCCGGGAAAGUCCAGCUUGGCAGUGGCAUUUCCAUCCAUCUCACCAAGUUACCUAUCCACUGCUGUGUGCUUUCAGCGUGAUGCUUCUACAGCUGAGCAUUAUUUAGAAAAUUAUGUAUGUUCAUCUGUACUGAAGCAAUAGUGACAGAUUAACUACCUGACACACGUCAUCUUGAAAUCUCAGGAGGAAAUUACUGCCUACAACACACACACACGACCAGCUUUUAGAGUUUUGAGGUUUCAAAAAGUUCUAUUAAAUGGCUUCGGAAUGUUUGAAAUGUACAAAACAUUUCCUAGGAAUUUUUAUAUCAAUGUUUUUCCUACAGAAAUGUCUGUGAACUAGAAUCGUUUUCUUCUAUUCUCUAUAUAUUCAUUUGGUAAACAUGAAACAUGUAUUCAAGUCUAUACUUGAUACUCAGCAUUCAGAUAUUUAUAACAAUGAAAAACUGAAGUCCCUGUGCUCAAGGACUUCGAUUUAGUGAGGGAUAGAAGUAUAUGCAAGUAGUUACAAUUCAAAAAGGCAAGCUGAUCAGAGAAAUACAAAUAAAGCACUAGGAGUUAAAGAGAAGGAGGUCACUAACUGCCAGGGUCAUUAGAGACCAACAGAGAAAAUUAUAUAUGAUCUGGAUCUUGAUGGACUAAAAGGAAUUUAUGAUGGGGGGAAGCAGAAAGAGUAACAUUUUAGGCAGAAAGAAUAAACCUGGAAGUAUAUAAUCAUGCUAAGACUUAUAUGCUGUAUUAGUCCGUUUUCAUGCUGCUGAUAAAGACAUACCAGAGACUGGGAAGAAAAGGAGGUUUAAUUGGACUUACAGUUCCACAUGGCUGGGAAGACUUCAGAAUCAUGGCAGGAAGUGAAAGGCACUUCUUACAUGGUGGCAGCAAGAGAAAAUGAGGAGGCAGCAAAAGCGGAAACCCCUGAUAAACUCAUCAGAUCUCAUGAGACUUAUUCACUAUCACGAGAAUAGCACAAGAAAGACCAGCUCCCAUGAUUCAGUUACCUCCCCCUAGGUCCACAACACAUGAGAAUUCUGGGAGAUACGAUUCAAGUUGAGAUUUGGGUGGGGACACAGCCAAAUCAUAUCACAGGCCAGAUUGAGGAAGUCUGCUUUUGAUAGUCUCAAUAUCAAGCACCUAGCUAGUGAUUAAUUUUGGCCUGUUCUUUGUGGGUAAAAAUGAUGAGAUAAGUUUAUGUUCAUGAAAUUGAUGGUGAUAAUAAUGAUUAAAAAUAGGAUCUUUCUGUGGAACUUGGCCAACAUGUCCAUGUGGCUGUGCUAACCAAUUAUUUACUAUUUUAUCAACCUGCUUCCAUUUUCCUAUUUCUAAACCCCUUCAGUAUACUUUGAGAAAGUACUAUCAUACAUCAUGACUGUUAGUAGAGCCUAGAAGAUCAAAGAUUUUCUCCUUUGACUAUUCUAAAUAUAACAGUUCUUCUGAAAUCAAUUCAUAUAUUCAACUUAAUUCCUGCCAAAAUUUCAGUGAUACACACACACACACACACACACACACACACGGCAAAAUUGUUCUAAAGUAAAUUCAGAAAAUAAUAGAGAUGAGAAAAUUACAAAAACUAGUGCAAAUACUAAAAUUUGCAGAUAUACUAACAGAUCUAACAUAUUACAACAUGUUAUAUAGCCUCUGAAAUAAAAACGAUUUGUUACUAGGCUAAAAAUAAAAUCUGCAGCCCAGAAGUAGAACAUAUUACAUAUAGCACUAUAGUUUCAUAAAGGAGAUGGCAUUGGUCAAUCAGAAACCUGAAGGUUUAGUCAGUAAGUGCUCUAUGAGGGAUCAGUUAGCAAUUUACAAAGAAAAAUUAAUUUAGAGCCUCAUCUCAUUUCAUAGGCCAAAAUAUAUUUUAGAUAAAGAAGUAAACAUUAAAAAUUAAACAACAGAAACCAGUAAAAAAAGUGAAAUAAAUAUUUAUCAAAUGUCUAGAUUCAAAAGCACUUAGCUUAGAAAUGAUAAAAGGCUUAAGAGAUAAAAAUAAGAUUGAGCCAUAUACAAAUUUAAAACUUUAAUAUCUAAACUCUAAAAAUCAUAAGACAAGUAUCAAAUUGUGAAAAUGGCUACAGAAAAUACUAAAAGCAUUAAUAACUUUAUUGUAUUAUGAGCUUGUAUUAAUGGACAAAAAAAUAAGAAAAAAGGCGGAAAUACAAAUAAAUACAAAAUUAACUACAAAGGGAAAUUAAAAAUAAUUAUGGUUUUUGAUUAUAUAACUAAUCAACAAACAUACAAAACCUAUAUUCAUUCUCAGUUGUAAUGGAAAUCCAAAAUAAAACAACAUUAAGACACAUUUU
rnacentral:lncRNA from 10 species